CCUACGGGAGGCAGCAGUGGGGGAUAUUGCACAAUGGGGGAAACCCUGAUGCAGCGACGCAGCGUGUGGGAAGACGGUCCUCUGGAUUGUAAACCACUGUCCCCAGGGACGAAGAUGACGGUACCUGGGGAGGAAGCUCCGGCUAACUACGUGCCAGCCGCCGCGGUAAUACGUAGGGAGCAAGCGUUGUCCGGAAUUACUGGGUGUAAAGGGAGCGUAGGCGGGAUGGCAAGUUGGGGGUUAAAUCUACCGGCUAAACUGGGAGUCGCACUAAAAACUGCUAGUCUUGAGUGAAGUAGAGGCAGGCGGAAUUCCUAGUGUAGCGGUGAAAUGCGUAGAUAUUAGGAGGAACACCAGUGGCGAAGGCGGCCUGCUGGGCUUUUACUGACGCUGAGGCUCGAAAGUGUGGGGAGCAAACAGGAUUAGAUACCCUAGUAGUC
rnacentral:rRNA from 1 species